rnacentral:rRNA from 1 species
AUAGAGACUCAGAGCUGCAUAUCAAUAAGCGGAGGAAAAGAAACUAACAAGGAUUCCCUUAGUAACGGCGAGUGAAGCGGGAAGAGCUCAAAUUUGAAAUCUUCAAGGUUUUACCUUGACGAAUUGUAGUUUAAAGAAGUGUUUUCUGUUGAAGUUUUGGUAAAAGUUCUUUGGAAUAGGACAUCAUAGAGGGUGAGAAUCCCGUAUCUGACCAUUAUUUUCCAGCUGUGUGAUACACCUUCAAAGAGUCGGAUAGUUUGGGAAUGCAGUCCAAAAUAGGGUGGUAAAUUUCAUCUAAAGCUAAAUAUUGGCGAGAGACCGAUAGCGAACAAGUACCGUGAGGGAAAGAUGAAAAGAACUUUGAAAAGAGAGUUAAACAGUACGUGAAAUUGUCAAAAGGGAAGCGUUUGACACCAGUGUUGUUUUUCCGAAAAUCAAUUACGAAUGUUUUGUUUUUGAGAAGUUAUGACUUCAUCGGCUUGCUUCUCUCUUUACGAAAUUUUCUUAAUGCACUUUUCGGUUAACAAGUCAACAUCAAUUUCUUUUGUUGUAAAAGGGUAUGAGGAAGGUGGCUUUCUUUUCGGAGAAAGUGUUUAUAGCCUUGUGACCUCUGCAAUCGGAGAGAUUGAGGUCUGCAGCGUAGAUCCUUCGGGGUUAGAUACAUUUGUGCUAAGUUAUAGCCUUUCAUUGACAACUUGUUGACUAUGAUCAGUCAUGUAGCUUACUCGCUUAUGUCAUUUUACCUACGCUUAGGAUGUUGACGCAUGAGAUAUACGC